rnacentral:rRNA from 1 species
GAUGAACGCUGGCGGCGUGCUUAACACAUGCAAGUCGAACGUGAGGGUGUAGCAAUAUGCCUGAAAGUGGCGAACGGGUGAGUAACACGUAGAUGACCUGCCCUGGAGUGGGGGAUAACCAUUGGAAACGGUGGCUAAUACCGCAUACAUCCAUAUUUCUGGGAAGAGAUGUGGGGAAAGCUCUGGUGCUCUGGGAGGGGUCUGCGUCCGAUUAGCUAGAUGGUGAGGUAAAGGCUCACCAAGGCGACGAUCGGUAGCUGGUCUGAGAGGACGAUCAGCCACACGGGAACGGGGACACGGUCCCGACUCCUACGGGGGGCAGCAGUGAGGAAUAUUGGGCAAUGGGCGAGAGCCUGACCCAGCAACGCCGCGUGGAGGAAGACGGCCUUCGGGUUGUAAACUCCUUUUGACAGGGAAGAGAGAGGACGGUACCUGUCGAAUAAGUCACGGCUAACUACGUGCCAGCAGCCGCCGUAACAC